CUCUAGGGAUGCUCUAGGGAUGCCCAGGUGUGCCCUAGGGAAGCUCCAGGUGUCCCCAGAUGUGCCCAGAUGUGCCCAGGUGUGCCCAGGGAUCCCCCAGGUGCCCCCAGGUGUGCCCAGGUGUGCCCUAGGGGUACCCAGGUGCCCCCAGGGAUCCCCCAGGUGUUCCUAGGGUGCUCCCAGGUGUGCCCAGGUACCCCCAGGUGUGCCCAGCUGCCCCCAGGUACCCCCCAGGUGCCCCCAGGUGUGCCCAGGUACCCCCCAGGUGCCCCCAGGUACCCCCCAGGUGUGCCCAGGUGUGCCCAGGUACCCCCCAGGUGUCCCUGGGUGUGCCCAGGAAUCCCCCAGGUACCCCCCCAGGUACCCCCCAGGUGUGCCAGGCGUGGUCUCCUUUGGGCACAGCUGGAGCGGGCACAGCUGGAGGGGGCGCGGCGCCGGCGGGACCUGGAGCAGCGGCACCGCCUCCUGCUGCAGCAGGACCUAUCCCGGGAGGAGGUGGGCGUGGCCUCGGCGGAGGCGGGGCCCGAGGCCCCGCCCAUGGAGGGUUACCUGUACAAGAGAGCGAGCAACGCCUUCCGCACCUGGAGCAGGUACCAAAAUCACCCCAAACACCCCAAAAACUGACCCGGAGCAUCCAAAAUACCCCAAAACCGCCAAAAAUCACCCCAAAAUCACCAUAAAAAUACCCCAAAACACCCCAAAACAUCCCAAAACCGCCAAGAAUCACCCCAAAUCACCAUAAAAACACCCCAAAAUACCCCAAAACUGCCAAAAAUCACCCCAAAAUCACCAUAAAACCACCACAAAAUACCCCAAAACACCCCAAAACCGCCAAGAAUCACCCCCAAGUCAUCAUAAAACCACGCCAAAACACCCCAAAAUACCCCAAAACCGCCAAAAAUCACCCCAAAAUCANNNNNNNNNNACACCCCAAAAUACCCCAAAACCGCCAAAAAUCACCCCAAAAUCACCCUAAAACAACCCCAAAAUACCCCAAAGCCACCAAAAAUCACCAUAAAACCACCCCCAAAACACUCCGAAAUGCCCCAAAAGCACCAAAAAUCACCUCAGAAUCACCAUAAAACCACCCCAAAAUACCCCAAAAACGCCAAAA
rnacentral:lncRNA from 1 species